UACGUAGGGUGCAAGCGUUAUCCGGAAUUAUUGGGCGUAAAGAGCUCGUAGGCGGUUUGUCGCGUCUGCUGUGAAAACUGGGGGCUCAACCCCCAGCCUGCAGUGGGUACGGGCAGACUAGAGUGCGGUAGGGGAGAUUGGAAUUCCUGGUGUAGCGGUGGAAUGCGCAGAUAUCAGGAGGAACACCGAUGGCGAAGGCAGAUCUCUGGGCCGGUAACUGACGCUGAGGAGCGAAAAGCAUGGGGAGCGAACAGG
rnacentral:rRNA from 1 species